UACGUAGGUGGCAAGCGUUGUUCGGAAUUAUUGGGCGUAAAGAGCUUGUAGGCGGUUUGUCGCGUCUGCUGUGAAAUUUCGGGGCUCAACCCCGAACUUGCAGUGGGUACGGGCAGACUAGAGUGUGGUAGGGGAGACUGGAAUUCCUGGUGUAGCGGUGAAAUGCGCAGAUAUCAGGAGGAACACCGAUGGCGAAGGCAGGUCUCUGGGCCACUACUGACGCUGAGAAGCGAAAGCAUGGGGAGCGAACAGG
rnacentral:rRNA from 1 species